GACUUGCCUGUUCGUCCACAAUCUGCGCUGACGGAUAUGAAUAGUGAUAAGCCCGAGGCCCAAGCGCAGGCCCCAACAGCACGCAGGUCGCAGCAGCGGAAAAUCCCUCACACCGACUUCCUGGCGCGUUCUAUUGUAGUUGCAGUUGUAGUUCUCCUUUCUUCAACAUUGAAAUUAAAAAGGAAAAUUGACCUUUCGAAAUAAAUGGCAUCAACCGAUCCUCAAGAAUUCGUUCAAGAACUCUCACCGCUCCCAAAGGUUCUAGUUCCCAAAAUACCACCGUCUUUCUGCAUCAUUGGGGAAGAGCCCUUUACCUCCACCAAAUUCCAGUACUUGAAAGCAUACGAGUCUCCGCUCCCUCUUGAUCAGUUCUUGGCCACUCAUGCGCACUCCGUAAAGGCCAUCCUUUCUACCGCAAGUGCUCCCGUCACUGCUGACCUCCUGCAGUUGCUGCCGGCGGUGCGCCUUGUCGUCACCACCAGCGCCGGCCUCAACCAGAUUGACCUCCCUGAAUGCCGGCGCCGUGGAAUAGCGGUCGCUAACGUAGCCAAUGUCUAUUCUGCUGACGUCGCAGAUCUUGCUGUUGGUUUGUUGAUCGAUGUUUUGAGGAAGAUUUCGGCAAGCAAUCGCUACGUCAAGCAAGGGAAUUGGCCCACCAGAGGGGACUAUCCUCUUGGUUCUAAGUUGGGAGGAAAGCGGGUUGGAAUUGUUGGACUGGGAAAUAUUGGGUAUGAAGUUGCUAAAAGGCUUGAAGCCUUUGGUUGCUGUAUCUCUUAUAACUCCAGGAAGAAAAAGCCAUAUGUCUCGUACCCUUUCUAUGAAAAUGUCUGUGAACUUGCAGCCAAUUGCGAUGCCCUCAUCAUCUGUUGCGGGUUGACAGACCAAACCCGCCACCUGAUCAAUAAGGAAGUCUUAUCAGCACUGGGGAAGAAAGGAGUCAUUGUUAAUAUCGGACGUGGGCCUAUUAUUGAUGAAAAGGAAAUGGUAAGGUUUUUGAUGGAAGGAAAGAUUGCAGGCGCUGGCUUGGAUGUGUUUGAGAAUGAGCCUGAU
rnacentral:misc_RNA from 1 species